rnacentral:lncRNA from 1 species
UUGACUAGUUUGGGUUCUCUUGAAGUGUUAAACCUUUCACAAAAUCAGCUCGUUGGACCUAUACCUAAGGGAAAGCAAUUCAAUACCUUUGGUAAUGACUCGUAUGCUGGUAACUUGGGAUUGUGUGGGUUUCCAUUGUCAAAGAGCUGUGACAACACUGAGGCACCCAUUUUUCCUGAGGAAGCAGAUUCUGAAUUUGGAUUUGAGUGGAAAGCGGCAUUGAUGGGUUAUGGAAGUGGACUAGUGUUCGGAAUAUCUGCAGCAUAUAUCAUGUUCACACUUGGAAAACCAAGAUGGCUUGUAAGGAUGGUUGAAGAAGUAGGCUACAAAUUGAAGAGAUAUCUCAAAGGACGAAAGAAUUUGUAAAUUAGUAAGGAGACCUCAUCUGUUGCUGGUGGAUGGAAUGGUUUGUGUUCCUUUUUGUUGUUCCUUUUAUGUUCAGUCUGAUUUUCUUUUCUUGGUUGUGUUUUGUUUUGUCUUGCACCUUGUCUUCUCUUCCAGGGGUUGUAUCAUGUUUUUAGGUUGUUUGCUAUAGGGGAUGUCCUGUUUUUGGUCUAGUAUGUUGCUUGGCUGUUGCUUAUAGCCAUCCAAAUGCUUGUUCUCUUCUCUUUUGUUCACUAGUGCUUGUUCCUGGUUGAUAAUGAAUUCUACUUUUCAGAAAAAGUAAGGAUGGUUGUUGCAGAUUUUGUUUUUUUUCUUUCUAGAAUAAAUUUUCUUUCACGCUAAUGAAAUUGUAAGCCUGUUAUUGAUGUUAUAUGGAAUUUAAAAUUGAAUUUUCUAUCCCUUUUACAGAUAUUGACAUCAAAUUUUAGUUGAAUUCACCGUGUUUAAAUAAUUUUUUUUUUAAUGUUUGGAAGCAGCAAAUAUCAUGAUCACACUUGGAAAACCAAGAUGGCUUGUAGGGAUGGUUGAAGAAACAGGUUACAAAUUGAAGAGAUAUCUCAAAGGACGAAGGAAUUUGUAAAUUAGUAAUUAAGAUGGUUGUUGCAGACUAUGUUUUUUUCUUCCUUGAGUACAUUUUCUUUCAUUGUAAUGAAAUUGUAAGCAUGUUAUUGAUGUUUAAUGGAAUUUAAAGUUGAAUUUUCUUUUGACAUGGAAUUUUAGUUGAAUUCACUGCCCUUCUAUAUCUUUAGUCUGUAAGCUAUAUUAACAUAUAGUACUAAUACAUAUUAUCAGUAUGCAACCUACCUUUGAUAUUUGUUUUUUCAUUAAACCACAUGAGUUAAAAAGAGCAAUGAAUUAGCUUUUCUGCUAUCUUAUAGUCCUAGAUCAGGGCACUAGCAGGAUAGAAACAGGGAAGGAGAAGACUUGAUUUGAUUCGGAAGUUUAAUCGAAAGUUUAAUUGAUUUGAUUCGAGACUUGAUGGCAUAUAAUUCGAGACAGGGACCAACAGAGGAGAACAGCAGCAAGGCAACGCUGAUGUUAUUAAUUCAUUCAUCAAUUCAUCAUAAACUUUGUACAGCCUAGGGAUAUAUUAAUACACAUUAUCACACCAAACACUUAGUAUCAUGUCAAGCAUGCACAACACCACGUAAUGGCUAAAAAUUAGGUAUUGGAUAUCCUUAUCAACCAUUAUUCUUUUAAUUGGUACAACAUAUAUAAUUAGUAUUUGCUUUUGGACCAAAUUGGUCUACAAAUUGUUAAAAAUACUUGAAAGUUUAAAUGGAAUGUACUAAGGAGAAUCAAACUUUAGACUGUAAAAACUAGAAGAAAUAAUAAACAAAUGAAAGUAGGUGUGAAUAUGAGGACUGACCUCAAAAGAUGAGUGUCUAUUUCUCACUCUAUUAUGAGAGGGUACUAUAAAUUUAAACUAAAUUUAAUUCUCAUAUUCAUAAUUGUUAUAUUUAUCACUACAAAAUAAAAAAAAAAUCCCAAAUUGAAUUACCCAACUAAAAUGUUUUAUAUAUGAAAACAAAAAAUAAAUAAACAUUAUAAUAUUUAUUCGUCAAUUGUUUUGCUCCUUGCAAUGGGGAAAUUUUAUUUAACCACUAAUGAAAAAAAAAGUGGAAAAAUUGAGUCUUUAUUUAUAUAUAUUUGUCUCUAUCCUCUUUAAUCUGGAGCUGUAAUCAUGUGAGAUUAUCCUAUUCUUAUAUUCAUUCAUUAGAUUUCGUUAGGAAUUGAACAAAAUGGAGUUUAAAGUCACCCUGUUUCAUCAUGAGCAAAAUAGAUUUUAUGGUAUGCAACAAUUUUAGGGAAUGAUAUGACAAAAUUAAUUUACAGCUAAGUAGCAGACAGUAAAAGACUAAAAUAGGAAUAAGUAGCAUUGAGGUGCUUUCCAUUAAUGUGGAUCCAAAGGGAUCAAUCAUUUGCUCAGGUACUACCCAAGGAAGGAAAUUUCUUGCUUUGAUUCAAAGUUACUGUUUUUUCAAAUUUUGAUUAGAAGACUUAGAAAGUCUUCUGCUUUUCAUCAGGAGAAAUGGUCUAACUAUUAGGCAUUGGACAUCCUUAUCAACCAUCAUUCUUUUAAUUGCCACAGCAUAAUUAGUAUUUGCUUUCGGACCAAAUUGGUCUACAAAUUGUUAAAAAACUUGAAAGUUGAAAUGGAUGUAUUAUGGGUAAGAAAUAGCCAAAACAUUAUACAAAUGAAAGUCUAUUUCUCACUUUAUUGCUAUGUAAAUGCUAUUGAUAAUGCAAAAUGGGCUCUGUUGAAGGAAAUUUUAACUAAUGCAAAAUUGGUUUCAUGUUUAUAGACUGGUUGAAACCAGGAAAAACAUCAGGAAGCUUCCUUUGAGGAGUUUUAACCUCAGGCCAAAGACCAUAGGACUUUACUUGCCUAGAACAUCUAUUACUUUUUGUAUACAAAAAUGAAUUCUUUUAUAAAGUAAAUAAAUUAAUUAAUAAAACCAAUUGAUUAUUUAAUUUAAACCAGAAAAUUUCAGAUGUAUGCACUACACAUGCAUCUUCGUCAAUUAAUUUCACACUUUGUUUAAGAAAUUUUACCCUAAUCUCAUCCCAUAUACAUAAAUGAAAUAAAACGAAGGCAUUUACUUGGUUAAUUGAUUGUUACCCAAAAAUUGUGAAACUCUGCUACAAGUCACUGCGCCCAAUUGAAGAAACUGCAGAGAAAAGUUUCAGCAAAGACUUCUUUUCUUCGGAAUCUCUUUGUUCUUUUUUUAUUGUUAUUAUUUUUCUUAUUUAAAUCCUUGGUGGAGGACAAGGGCCCAAACAUAAUUUGUCUCAAGUGCAGAGACCUGGUAAACUGAUUUGUCUUGACUGCAACGGUGUGAAGUGGGGUUCAUGCAAUAUAUAGGCCACAUAGAGUUUUUCGUACAACUAUUUUACGUAAGAAUGGCCAAGCGUGAAACACGACCGUCCUUUAGUUAUGUGAAAGCAAAUCAUGCCAAUAAUAAAUUGAUACAUGGAAUGAUUGAUAUCUGAAUCAGCAUAAAGUUUUUCAAACGAUUUGGUAUCUCCAAAAGCAAUAUGGGGUUAAAAGCAAAAGAGAGUCUUUGCCCUAAUUCUUAUCAACCAUGGCGAAACAUAAUUAGUAUAUGCUUUUGGACCAGGUCGGUCUACAAAUUGUUAAAAAACUUUAAAGUUGAGAGGGCACUCUGAUUGAAACUUACAAAGAUGACUUCCAACUCAAAAAGCUAAGUUAAUACUCUCAAUUUUAGAGGAUUGUCACUAACAAAUUGAAUCCAAAUUGAAUUUACCUUUUGGCACCAAUGCUGCCAUUAGUUUGCCUUUGGUUUGACUGGGCAGCUUAUAAAUAGUCAUCUAUGCCUUCUCACCAUUCAUAACUAUCAUAUCAUACCAUUAAUUUUCAAUUUCUCUUGCUAAGAAAGAUGUGGUGCUUACUGAGAAGCUUUCAACUCCUCUUGUUUCUUUUGUUCCUCUUAAAUUUUCAAGCUAAUCUUUCAUCUUGUUCUUCUUCAACAACACAUUUGUGCUCUCCUGAAGAUGCUGCUGCGUUGCUCCAAUUCAAGAGCUCUUUUUCCAUCAGUGAAGUUUUAUCUUGGUCUUGCGAUGAUGCUGGCACUAAAUCUUCUCCCAAGACAAAUUCAUGGAAGGAGGGUUCAAAUUGCUGCUCAUGGGAUGGGAUCACUUGUGAUAACAUCAACGGUGAAGUGAUUGACCUUGACUUGAGUUGCAGUCAGCUAUAUCGCAGCAUCCCUUCCAAUAGUAGUCUCUUCAAUCUUUCGCACCUACAGAAACUCAACCUAGCCUUUAACUACUUUGACUCUUCCAAAGUGUCAUCUAAGUUUGGCGGGUUUGCAAGUCUAGUGUAUCUCAACCUCUCUGGAUCAUGUUUUGCAGGACAAGUCCCAUCCCAAGUCUCUCACUUGUCGAAAUUGAUUUCACUUGAUCUCUCUCAGAAUUAUGAUCUAACAUUUGACAAACAUACUUUGGGAAGACUUGUUGAGAACUUAACAGAGGUGAGACAACUUUUUCUUGAUGAUAUCAAUAUGUCUUCUAUUAAUCCUAAUGCCUUGAUGAAUCUAUCCUCAUCUUUAAUGACACUUAGUCUCCGGAGAUGUUAUUUGCGAGGAAAAUUCUCAAAAAACAUUUUAAGAUUCCCAAAAAACAUUUUUCUCCUGCCAAACCUCAAGUCAAUCUAUUUAAGAGGCAAUCAAAACCUUGCUCUCGAUUUUCCAAAGUUGAACAAGAGCAGCAAUCUCGAACUUUUAGAUUUAUCAAACACUUCUUUCUCUAGAGGAUUGCCUGACUCAAUUGGGAAUCUUGUUUCUUUGAAGCAUUUGCUUCUUGACCAUUCCAAGGUUCUAGGGUCAAUUCCAAGAUCAUUGGGGAACCUAGUUUUGUUGGAGUAUUUAGAUCUUCGAGGAUCCACCUUUUCAGGAUCAAUUCCAAGAUCAUUGGGAAACCUCUCGCAACUCAGUUAUUUAGACUUGGCAUUUAACAAUUUCAGAGGUCAAAUUCCAUCCUCACUUACAAAUCUAAAACAUCUUGAAAUUUUAGACAUUUCUUAUAAUCAACUAGAGGGUUCCAUUCCUGAUGAGGUAUCUGCCUUUCCUAAUCUAAUCUCUCUAGACUUAGGUUCUAAUUUACUCAAUGGAACACUUCCAUCAUGUUUGUAUACAAUUCCCACAUUGAAGGACAUAUUUCUCUAUGAAAACCAGCUUAGUGGCGAUAUCAGGGAAUUCCAAUACAAAUCACUAAAAGGGAUAAAUUUUGGGAAUAAUAAACUCACAGGUCCACUUCCAUCUUCAAUAUCCCAACUUGUGAACCUUACUAUUCUCGUUUUAUCAUCAAAUAAUCUAUCAUCAAAUAAUCUAAGUGGUAUUGUAGAGCUUGACAUGUUCUCAAAACUCCAAAACAUCCAAUCCCUUGAUCUUUCAUAUAAUAGUCUAUCCUUAAGCUCUAAUGGCACUGGUGCUAAUUAUACAUUGCCCAAUCUUCAAUAUUUACAAUUGUCUUCUUGCAAUGUCAAUGAAUUUCCCCAAUUUUUAAGAGGUUCAGAAGGUUUGAAAUAUUUAGACCUUUCCAACAAUAGAAUUUAUGGCAAGAUUCCUAAAUGGAUGUGUGAUUUGGGGGGUUACUAUUUGUGGUACUUGAACAUAUCUCGCAACUCUUUGACAGAUCUUAACCAAUUUCCAAUGGAAGGAAUUCUAGCCCUUGACUUAAGCUCCAAUUUGAUUCACGGAGAUCUUCCCAUUCCACGUUCUUCGAGUGCUAGUAUCUUUUUGAUCUCAAAUAAUAGUUUGAGUGGAGAGAUCUCUUCUCUGAUCUGCGAAGCAAGUUCUCUUGAAUACCUUGACUUGUCUCACAACAACUUGAGUGGAACUAUUCCAGAGUGUCUUGGGAAUUUCAGCAAAAGCCUUUCAAUGUUGAAACUACAGAUGAACCGAUUUCAUGGAAUUAUUCCUCCAACUUUCAUAAAGGGUUGUCAAUUGAAGAAUCUCAACUUAAAUGGCAAUCAAUUAGAAGGGGCAUUAACACAAUCCAUCUUUAAUUGUAGAGAUCUGGAAGUGCUAGAUCUUGGUAACAACAAGAUCAAUGAUACAUUUCCUCAUUGGUUGGGAAGUCUUCCACGGCUAAAAGUUCUUGUACUACAAUCGAAUCAAUUCCAUGGUUCCAUUCAUGGCACUAGAUCCAGUCGUUCUUUCUCUAAAAUCCAAAUUUUUGACCUUUCAAAUAAUUAUUUUACUGGUCCUCUACCUAUUCAAUAUAUAAAAAAUUUCAAAGUUAUGAUAAAUAUCGGAAAAGAUGAAGAUGGAGUGUCAUACUUGGGGCUGCUGGAUUUUUCUGGUCACUUCUAUAGCUAUUCCAUUGGAAUUGCGAUUAAAGGUCGAGAGAUUGAAUUGGAGGAAAUAUUUGUCAUGUUCACAAGCAUUGACCUCUCAAAAAAUGAGUUUCAAGGUGAGAUUCCAAAGGUUAUUGGAGAGCUUAACUCACUCAAAGGGCUUAACCUUUCUCAUAAUAACCUUAGUGGUUAUAUCCCAACGUCAAUGGGGAAUUUGAUUAAUCUUGAAUGGUUGGACCUCUCUUCAAACAAGCUGGUUGGAAAGAUUCCAGAGCAAUUGCUGGAUCUGACAUCUCUUUCCUUCUUAAACCUCUCCAUGAAUGAACUAGUUGGGCCAAUUCCUCGAGGCAAGCAAUUCAACACGUUUGAAAACAGCUCUUAUGAAGGGAAUGAUGGAUUAUGUGGUUUUCCACUCACAAGAAGUUGCAGCAACAACAAGUCGCCUCAACCACUAGCACCUUCAAACUUACUGGAAAAAGAUGAUGGCUCAGAAUCUAACAUUGCUUUUGGGUGGAAAGUAGUGUUGAUAGGUUAUGGAUGUGGACUAUUGUUUGGAUUAGCUGUGGGAUACGUUGUUUUUCGAACUGGUAUGCCAGAAUGGAUUGUAACUUUGGUUGAAGACCUGUAUCCUAAGAGGCGAAGAAAGUCAAAGAUUGGCAACCGCAGUGGUGGAAGAAGAAGAAUCUAGUCAGUGCAAAUGAUGUUCAAGGAUUUGUGUUGCAGUUGUCUCUUUUCUGGUAGUGCAGUCUGUCAAGUGUGUUUGGCCAUGGUGAAGGUAUGUCUUUGUCUUUAUUAUUGCGUCAAUUGUCUGUCUUUUAUUGAAUUUAAUAAUGUAUUGAAGGAUCUCUUCUAAGUGUUGAAAUGUUUGUAUGGUUUCAGCUAUUUAUGUCUCCAUCUAUCACUUUAGUUUCAAUUCUUCCUACCUCCUAUAUAAAAUCUCUGUUACUGCUCUUCAACAAAAAAAGAAAAAGAAAAAGAGAAAAUCUCCUCUUUGGCAAUCUCUUUAACCUAUUAUAGAAAAUAAUUUGUUGUUCAAGAGUUAUACGGCUGAAAUUGAAUAUUUCCCCUUUACUCUACCAGAACUUUUCUUGGUUGAUUUUAGCUGCCUAAAUUAUGAAGCAAUUAAAUGAAUCAGUUGAUAUUUAAGUUGAAUGCCUCAGGCAACAGGACUGUACAAAAAAUUAAUAAAUUUGUAUAUCUUAAUCAUGGAUUUACAUGUAUAUUAGUAAAUUUUACUAAUCUUAUUCCAGCAAGUGACAAAAAGUACAAGUUGCAGUCAAGCAUUCUUAAUUCUGAUCGACAGCAAACAACCAGUCAUGCUAUAAAAAAUAUACCCUGCUUUCCAUAUCCUGAUUACUUGUAAAGCACAUUGAAGAAAUGAAGAAACUAGCAACAUUCUUACCUCGAGCAGCUUAAUGAAAAUCAGACAAAAGGUUGAAGCUCGAUUUGUUGUUCAAAAGUUGCUUUAACAAAGAGUGGCAUGUCUGUGAAACAGAGAUUCUACCAUAGUGUUAUUGGCUAAGGCAUUGAUUCCAAAAAGCACUGUCAACAUGAAAGCUGCGUACUGCACAAGGCGAUGAAGUAUAUUUAGUAGGUUCAGAAGAGAAGUAAAACAAGAGGAAUUUAUAGUUCCAUCCCAAACAUCUCAUUUUUUUUACUUGAAAGUUCAUAACAUGAUUGUGGGGAUGAUGUGACAAUGCAGAUAAGCAUUUGUAAGCUAACAUGCAUGUCCUUUUUUUUUCUUUUUUUGAUGAAACAUGCCAGCAAAAAUCUGUUUCAGUAUUUCUACCAGAAAAUUCAGAAUUCUUAGCAUUGUUCUCCUCUUUUGUGUAGAUCAUCUUGAUAGUACAGAACCCAACUUUCUGGUUUCAAAUCACUAGGCAAUCUGAUUAGACAAUCCGGGUAUGGACAUGCUCUGUUAAAGGAAAUUCUAACUAACGCAAGAUUGGCUUCAUGUUUAUGUUUGUGAUCCUAAACAUAAUAACCUCUUCUCCAUAAGAUUUCAAGAAAUUGAAUCUUUAUACACAAAUUGAAAGCAGAAAAUAGAUCAGCCACUAGUGGAUUAUGACAAUUUGGAGAUGUAUGCAUAUACAUUAUCAGAUCCCUUUGAGAAGCAGGUUAUGACAAUUUGGGAUCAUAACAGAGACACAAUUUCAACAACUAUAAAGCAACAAUACCCGGGCAGUUCAUCAGAAUUGUUGACAACAUUAAUAUUGUGAGACACCUAGCUAUAAUUCGACUCCUGGAAUCACCACAUAGAAAAUUUUAAUGGUGACAAAACCUUCAACAGCAAAGAUACAGAGACUUGGUAAACGAAUGCACUGACGUGAAGUUUGGGUUCUGCAAAUAUCUUAUCUUUUCUAUUAGCACUAAUCAAUACUGCAAAUUGCACUUGUUGUGGAGAAUUCUACAAUGGUAAGGACAAUAAUUCUUUUGCAUAUUUUUCUUUCCUCAGUUUCCUAUGACAUUAAUACUCUUUCCUUUUGUUUUAUAUUUAUUUUAGUAUUUAUCAUGGCACCUUCGUAGCAAUAAUUUGUGUAGACCAACAUGAAUAAAUACAACAUGAUUUUAGUAUGCAUAAAUCAUUUUUCUCCAAUCUCAAUAUUAUGGAUUAAUUAUUUAAUUGUCAUGAGCCUUCAUUAUCAUACCUUUUAAUUGGAGAUCCCCACUUUGCAAUUGGAAAAUUUAGGGAAAAAAUGCACAACUAAAAUUUUCCACACAAUUAUUUCAACACGUUGAAGAACAUUAAUUUAUAGAAUUAAUAAAACUUAUCAAUAGACAUCAAAUAUAUUAAAAAAUAUGGUAAUGAUAAUUGAAUAAUAUAUAGGAGUCUUCAAUUCUCUAAAUGCCAAUCUAGUUGACCAACUAGAUGAUAGGAAAGUAUAUCUGUAAACAAAUCGAAAACGAAGGUUUUCAUGUUGAAUUCAAAUCCAGCACUCUCUCAAACUCAAUUAUCAAGGAAAGAAAAAGUAGAAAGCUCCUUAGAGACCACUUGCAUGUUCCUCCAAAAAGCUCUUCGUGGCUGCUAUCAAUAAUUUAUACUAGUAAUUAAUAAGGAAGAUAUUGUUGAUGAAGUUUACAAUAACACCUCAAUGCUCGUGGUAGUCCACAAGAUGGAUUGGCUCUUCUUGUGCCCGUGUUAUCAAAAAAACUAAUUUUGCUUUUAUUCUUCCAUGGAGUUUUUUUGUUGGGGAUCAACCCUCAAUCUCUUUGUUGGGGAAUAAAGAAGGCAGGAUCGAACAGAUUGCCAACAGGGGAAGGGAACGCUUGAUGGCUUUAAUAUUUAGUUAAGCAGCAGAAAACUUUGCAGAGGAGACAAGAGAUGAUGGGACAGUUUGAAUAAGAAAAACAUUAUUAUUCAACUGUUGUGUACUUUGAAACUUUGAAGCAGCACAGGAAAAAGUCAGAGAGAUUUGGUACGCGAAUUUGUCUUGAAUGCACCGAUGCGAAGUUGGUGGUGUAUCAAUGGGCGGAUCCCAUGUCCCUACACCCUCUUUGCUUUGAGGCAGCACUCAGGCAGGUGUACUCCAUAUUAUCAUAAAGUUUGUGCAUAUAUGGAAUCAUUUUGUAUAUUCUCUCUAAUUGAAAUUCUAAAUGGUAGGAUUCCAAAGAUCAACCUGAUUCAUCACUCAAAUACUCUCAUAAUGCCAACUUCAACUUCAACCACAAGUUUAUAUAUGAAUGCUAAAUUAUUUAUACAUUCUUUAUAUGUAUAUACAGAGUGAAAAAUAAAAUAAAAAGUUAUAUUUCUGAAUGAAUCCGUAUAUGAACUAAACCAGUAAAUUAUAAACUUUAUGCUGUUACCACUUGGCACCAAUGCUGCCAUUCGUUUGACAUUGGUUUGAGUGGGCAGUUUAUAAAUACUCAUCUAUGCCUUCUCAUCACCACUCAUAUCAAUCAUAUCAUACCAUUAUUAUAUUCCAUUUCUCUUCUUAAGAAAUUAAGAUGUGCUGCUUACUCAUCAGAUCCUUUCAACUCCUCUACCUUCUUUUAUUCCUCCUCAAUUUUCAAGCGUAUCUUUCAUCUUGUUCUUCUUCAAUAACACAACUGUGUUCUCCUGAAGUAGCUGCUGCAUUGAUCCAAUUCAAGACCUCUUUUUCCAUCAUUAAAGACUCAUCUUGGAAAUGCGAUGAAUCUUAUCCUAAGACAAAUUCAUGGAAGGAGGGUUCAGAUUGCUGCUCAUGGGAUGGGGUCGCUUGUGAUAGCAUCAAAGGUCAAGUGAUUGGCCUUGACUUGAGUUGCAGUCAGCUAUAUGGCAGCAUCCCUUCCAAUAGCAGUCUCUUCCAUCUUCCACACUUGCAGAAGGUCAACCUAGCCUUCAACGAUUUUCAGUUUUCCAAGAUGUCGUCUAAGUUUCGUCGGUUUGCAAGUCUAGUGUAUCUCAACCUCUCAAAUACAUACUUAGCAGGUCAAGUCCCAUCCCAAAUCUCCCACUUGUCGAAAUUGGUUUCACUUGAUCUCUCUGGGAAUUAUUAUCAACCACUUGACAGACAUACUUUGGAAGGACUUGUUCAGAACCUAACAGAGGUGAGACACCUUUUUCUUAAUGAUAUCAAUAUGUCUUCUGUUCAUCCUAAUGCCUUGAUGAAUCUAUCCUCAUCUUUAAGGACUUUUAAUCUCAACUAUUGUGAUUUGCGAGGAAAAUUCCCAAAAAACAUUUUUCAUCUGCCAAACCUCAAGUCACUCUAUUUAGCAGACAACAUAAACCUCACUCUCUAUAUUCCAAAGUUGAACCGGAGCAGCAAUCUUGAAAUUUUAGAUCUAUCAUUUGUGUCCUCUUCUAUGGAAUUGAUGGAUUCGAUUGGGAAUCUAGUUUCCUUGAAGCAUUUGGUUCUCUACGGGGCCAACUUAAUGGGAUCAAUUCCGAGACCAUUGUGGAAUCUAGUUUCCUUGGAAUAUUUAAAUCUUGGUAAUUCUAACUUAUCAGGAUCUAUUCCGAGAUCAUUGAGGAACUUCACCCAACUCUGUUAUUUAGACUUGUCAGGGAAUUAUUUUAGUGGACAAAUUCCAUCCUCACUUACAAACCUAAGACAGCUAGAAUUCUUAUCCAUUUCUCAUAACCAAUUAGAGGGUUCCAUUCCUGAUGCCCUUCCUAAUCUAAUCUCUCUGCAUUUAUCUUUUAAUUUACUCAAUGGAACACUUCCUUCAUGGUUGUAUACAGUUUGCACAAUGAAGCAAAUAUAUCUCAACGAUAACAAGCUCAGUGGUGAUAUCAAGGAAUUCCAAUGCAAAUCACUAGAAAAGAUCUCUUUAGGGAAUAAUAAACUCAAAGGUCCUCUUCCAUCUUCAAUAUUCCAACUUGUGAAUCUUUCUACAGCUGACUUUUCACAUCUAAGUGGUAUUGUACAUAUUAACAUGUUCUCAAAACUCCAAAAUCUCCAAUACCUUGAUCUUUCAUAUAACAAUCUAUCGUUAAACUCUAAUGGUACUAGUGUUGAUUAUGUAUUUCCAAAUCUUAGGUAUUUGCUCUUGUCUUCUUGCAAUGUCAAUGAAUUGUCCCGAUUUUUAAAAGGUUCAAAAAGUUUGCAAUAUUUAGACCUUUCCAACAAUAAAAUUUAUGGCAAGAUUCCUAAGUGGAUGUGGGAUGUGGGGAAGGACUAUGCUGCACUUGAAUUUAUCUCACAACUCUUUUACAGAUUUUGAGCAAAUUCCAUGGAAGGGAAUUGCAAUUCUUGACCUUAGCUCAAAUUUCAUUCAUGGAGAUCUUCCGAUUCCACCUUCAACAACAUUUGUCUUUUUUAUCUCAAAUAAUAGUUUGAGUGGAGAGAUCCCUUCUCGACUAUGCAAUGCAAAUUCCCUUGAAUUUCUUGACUUGUCUCACAAUAACUUGAAUGGAAUUAUUCCACAAUGUUUUGGAAAUUUAAGCCAAAGCCUUUCAGUGUUGAAUCUACAAAUGAACAACUUUCGUGGACUCAUUCCUCCAGCUUUUACAAAGGGAUGUCAAUUGAAAUAUCUCAACUUAAAUGGCAAUCAAUUAGAAGGGCCUCUACCACAAGCCAUCUUUAAUUGUAGAGGUUUGGAAAUUCUAAAUCUUGGUAACAACAAGAUCAAUGAUACAUUUCCUCAUUGGUUGGAAAGUCUUGCACAAUUACGAGCUCUUGUGAUGCAUUCAAAUCAAUUGCAUGGUUCCAUUGAAGGCCCCCGGUCCAGUCGUUCUUUCUCCAAAAUUCAAAUUUUUAAUCUGUCAAAUAAUUAUUUUACUGGUCCACUUCCCGUUAAACAUAUAAAAAAUUUCAAGGUUAUGAUAAAUCUCACAAAAGAUGAAAGUGUACUGUCGUACAUGGGACUGUAUGGUCAUUCUUUGGUUGACUUCUAUAGCUAUUCUAUUGAAAUUGCAAUAAAAGGAGUAGAGAUUGAAUUGGAGAAAAUAUUCAUCGGGUUGACGAGCAUUGACCUCUCAAGUAAUGAGUUUCAAGGUGAGAUUCCAAAGGUUAUUGGAGAGCUUAACUCACUCAAAGAGCUAAACCUUUCUCAUAAUAACCUUAGUGGUUGUAUCCCAACAUCAAUGGGGAAUUUGGCAGCAAUUGAGUCGCUGGAUCUCUCUUCAAACAAGCUAGUUGGGAAGAUUCCUUCAGAGUUGAUUAGUUUGAAUUUUCUUGAAGUGUUAAAUCUUUCACAAAAUCAACUCGUUGGACUUAUACCUCAGGGAAACCAAUUCAAUACCUUCGGCAAUGAUUCCUAUGCUGGUAACUCGGGAUUGUGUGGGUUUCCAUUGCCAAAGAGCUGUGACAACACUGAGGCAUCCGUUUUCCAUGAGGAAGUAGAUCCUGAAUCUGGAUUUGAGUGGAAAGCAACAUUGAUGGGUUAUGGAAGUGGACUAGUGUUGGGAAUAUCUGCAGCAUAUAUCAUGUUCACACUUGGAAGACCCAAAUGGCUUGUGAGGAUGGUUGAAGAAGCAGGCUACAAAUUGAAGAGAUAUCUCAGAGGACAAAGGAAUUUGUAAAUCAGUAAGGAGCCCUCAUUUGUUACUGGUGGAUGGAAUGGCUUGUGUGCCAUUUUGUUGUUCGUUUUAUGCUCAGUUUGGUUUUCUUUUCUUGGUAGUGUUUUGUUUUGUCUUGCGCCCUGUCUUCUCUUCUAGGGGUUUUAUCAUGUUUUCAGAUUGUUUGUUAUAAGGGAUGCCCUGUUUUUGAUCUAGUAUGUUGCUUGGCUGUUGCUCAUUGCCAUCCAAAUGCUUGUUCUCUUCUCUAUUAUUCACCAGUGCUUAGUCCUGGUUGGUAAUGAAUUCAAUUUUUGGUUUAGUAAGGAUGGUUGUUGUAAACUCUGUAGUUUUUAUUCCUAGAAUAAUGUUUCCUUCAUGCUAAUAAAAUUGUAAGCCUGUUAUUGAUGUUUAUGGAAUUUAAAGUUGAAUUUUCUAUCUUUUUUACAAAUUUUGAGAUUGAAUUUUAGUUGAAUUCACUGCAGUUAAAUCGUGUUUUUCUGUUAAUGUUUGAAGGCAGCAAUCAGAAAGGAUAGCAUAGAAAAUGGUCUUAUGAUUAAAACUGGAGCAAAUGGAAGCUUUUAAUUGCCCUCAACUUUUGCCCUUUCACGUAGUACAGUCGGCAAGCAGGAGAACUUAACAGCAUCUAAAAGUCAAUGUUUUGAUACCUGACACUUGGUUACCUUCUUAAUCAAGUUAAGCAAACCAAAGGAAGAAAUCAGCAUCACUUGCUAAAGUCAUCUAGGCUGGCAAUUCCUUCAUCACAAGCAAUUUUUGCUUUACUUUGCUUAAUCAAAGAUUUUGCUUAUAUUUUGAGGAACUGAGCUUUGCUUAGUAAACUCUAGGUGCUUUAAACUAUCCAGCUGCCAACUUGGCUUAACCUCGGACCAUUUUGAGAACAACACUACGCAUAGUUACCAAAUCUAGUCGCCAUUGCUUAACACUUACAACUUUGACUGGCCAUUACCAAUGGAGCCAAAACUUUCCUAUAACUUCAGUUGUUCAUGAUAAAACUCUCGUUCUUUUCAAAUUCUAUUCAUGAUUCAUCCUUCUACUAGUUUAUUCAGUUGGACUAGAGUUGUUCUAAUGCCAAAUUCAAGUCAUAUUUUCUGCAUUUAGAUUUUCUUUUUGCCCUCACCAUCAUGCUAAUUAUUUCUUCACCUUCCUUUUCAAAAUGAAUUGAGAUCCUCCCCAACGCAAACUUAUUUGUCCAUAAAUAGUAUGAAAAUGUACCAAAGGUUAUAGCAGGCUGCGGCAUCACAAAGCCAUUAAUACAUAUUAUCGCACCAAACACGUAGUUUCAUGUCAAGCAUGCACAACACCACGUAAUGGCUUUUGAAUCCCAGCAAACACGCGCCUAAUUGCAUGCUGUACAGAUAGGUUGCCCACUUGCCAUUCCUUAGAAGACUUGUUUGGACGUGCUAAAUCCUGGUAACAACAAGAUCAAUGAUAUAUGUCCUCAUUGGUUGGGAAGUCUUCCACAGCUACAAGUUCUUGUAUUGCAGUCGAAUCAAUUCCAUGGUUCCAUUCAUGGCAUUAGAUCCAAUCGUUCUUUCUCUAAGAUUCAAAUUUUUGACCUCUCAAAUAAUUAUUUUACCGGCCCACUUCCUGUUAAAUAUAUAAAGAAUUUUAAGGCUUUGACAAAUCUCACAAUAGAUAAAAGUGCAAUCUGAUACAUAGGAGUGCAGGCUUUUAAUGUCAGUCACUUUAUAGUUAUUCUGUUGAAAUUGCAAUAAAAGGACAAGAGGUUGAAUUGGAGAAAAUUUUCAUCAAGGUGACGAGCAUUCACCUUUCAAAUAAUAAGUUUCAAGGUUAGAAACCAAAGGUUAUUGGAGAGCUUAAAUCACUCAAAGGGCUUAACCUUUCUCAUAACAACCUUAGUGGUUAUAUCCCUACAUGUAUGGGGAAUUUGAUUAGUCUUGAAUGGUUGGAGCUCUCUUCAAACGAGCUAGUUGGGAAGAUUCCUACACAGUUGACUAGUUUGGGUUCUCUUGCAGUGUUAAACCUUUCACAAAAUCAGCUCAUUGGACUUAUACCUCUGGGAAAACAAUUCAAUACUUUUGGUAAUGAUUCCUAUGUUGGUAACUUGGGAUCGUGUGGGUUUCCAUUGUCAAAGAGAUGUGACGACACUGAGGCAUCCGUUUUUCAUGAGGAAGCAGACUUUGAGUUUGGAUCUGUGUGGAAAGCGACAUUUAUGGGUUAUGGAAGUGGACUAGUGUUGGGAAUAUCUGCAACAAAUAUCAUGUUCACCCUUGGAAGACCCAAAUGGCUUGUGAGGAUGGUUGAAGAAGCCAGCUACGAACUUAAGAGAUAUCUCAGAGGAGGAAGAAAUUUGUAAAUUAGUAAGGAUGGUUGUUGCAAACUAUGCUUUUUUUCUUCCUAGAAUAAAUUUUCUUUCAUGCUAAUGAAACUUUAAGCCUAUUAUUGAUGUUAUAUGGAAUUUAAAUUUGAAUUUUCUAUCCCUUUUACAGAUGUUGACAUGAAAAUUUAGUUGAAUUCACAGCACUUACAUCAAUUUUUUUUUGUUAAUGUUGGAAGGCAGCAAUCAGGGAGGAUAGCAUUGAAAAUGGUCCUUGCUAAAUUGGAGCAAUGGAAGCUUUCAACUUCUCUCAAAUUUUGCCCUUUCACAUAGUACAGCAAGCAAGCAGAAGAACUUAACAGCAUCCAAUAGUCAAUGUUUUAAUACCUGACACUUGGUAAACCUUCUUAAUCAAGUUAAGCAAGCAAAAGAAGAAAUCACUGUUAAUUGCUAAAGUCAUCUGGGCUGGCAAUUCCAUCGUCACAUGCAAUUUUAGCUUUACUUUGCUUAGUCAAAGAUUUUGUUUAUGUAUAUAUUGAGGAGCUGAGCUUUGCUUAGUAAACUCCAGUUGCUUGAACAAUCCAGUUGCCAACUUGGCUUAACCUCGGACCAUGUUGAGAAGAACAUCAUGCAUAGUUACCAAAUCUAGUUGCCAUUGCUUCACAUUUACAACUUCGACUGGCCAUUACCAGUGGAGCCAAAACUUUCCUGUAAUCUCAGAUGUUCAUAAUAAAAGUCUUGUUCUUUUCAAAUUCAAUUCAUAAUUCAUCCUUCUGCUAGUAUUCAGUCGGAUUGGAGUUUUUCUAAUGCCAAAUUCAAGUAAUUUCUUUUCUCAGUUCAGGGUAGAGAUGGGUAUAUGGGAAUUCUCUUGAUCCCAAUAAAACAAGAAACUCCCCUCUUUUUCUCUUUCUCCAUUUCCAUAUUUUGUUUAAACAAGUUUCAAUCUUUUUUCUCUCCAUUUAAUUUUGUAGUUUAUUGAAUUUUUCUUAUUGAUAGAAAUUUGAAUCGAAAUUUGAAGAACCCAUCAAAGUUGUCAUCCAAAACUAAUUCUCCUGUUAUCUCCAGCAAAUUUCUUGCUUUGUUUCAAAAUUGUUUUCUUUCAAAUUGUCAUUAGCACUUUGAGACAACUGCAUGACAAAAUUAGAAGACUUAAAAAGGCUUUUGCAUCGAUCUGAAAUCAGUAGCAUCAAAAAAUGGUUUAAAUAGCAGGCUGAAUUUAUUCUGUUCAUCCUUAGCAUUUGCUUUUUGACAAGGUUGAUCUACAAAUUGUUCAAAAAACUUAGACAAUGAAUAAUAAACAUAUGAAAGUAGGUGUAAACAUUAGGAAAAUGUAGGAAAGUGAUUGUCUAUUUCUCACUCUAUUUCUACGUAAAUGCAAUUGAAAAAUGUAGGAAAAAAUUGAAACUAGAAGUACAUGGUAUAAACAUUAUGCAAAAUUGACCUUGUUGAAGGAAAUUCUGUCAUUGCUUCACUUUUAAAUUAUUGAUCUCUUUAUUUUUAUUUUUCUUGUUUCUUUUCCCUGUUGAAUUAAAAGGAAAUUUACGACUAUUAAAAAUGAAUGAACAAAUUCAAAAUUAAUACGUGUUUUGAUUAAAAAAAUAAAAUAAAAGAGAACAAAAAACAAGAAUUACGCAGAAGAAAAGGCCCAAACUAACAUCUUUUGAUAGAUAUAUAUAUUUUUUAUACUUCUUGGUUUAACGUGACAAUUUGGGAUCAAUGCAUUAAUCUGUGACACCUUUUUAUAAAUCUAGAAGUGGAAUCAACACAGAGAAAAUUGUAAUGGUAGCAAAACUUUGAAUGAGAAAAAGUUACAGAGACUUGGUAAACUAUAUGUGAUGAAUACAGUGACGUGAGGUUGGGGUUCUGCAAUGGGUGGAUCCCAUGUCCCUACACCCUAUUUGCUUUGAGGUAGCUUAAUUAACGGUGCAAAGGAGCCAGUUCCAGCAUUCAGUCUUCUUACUUCUCUCAUGUUUUCUACUAUAGCCCAGUCAAUUCUGUAAAUUGCACUUGUUGGGGAGAAUUCUGCAAUGUGUCAGUGAGUGCACGUUGUGGGGACAAUUCCAACACGUUAAAAGAUUAAAUUUCAGCCUGGUGUAGACCAUAUUAACAUUAAUAAGACAAAAUAUAUAAUGGAAUGAUUGGAUUAUAGGUCCAUAUUUUCCUUUUGUGAAAAUAACCAUCUCACCUUUUUCUUUAAGAUUGGUUUAAUUUUUCCUUUGGCGUGUGGUCUUGGUCUCUUUGAUCAUCUCAUAUUUUCUCUAAUAGAAACUCUCUAUGAAAAGAUAAAUCACUGACCUUAAUGAGCUAGACAAUUUAAUUAAUGAAUCAGAAAAAAAGUCUUGAUAUGAAGAUUUUGACUCUUACUACAUAUUAUUUACAAAUGAUAGCAUCAACCUGAUUCAUCACACAUAGACUCUCAUUUCAUUUGUUACUAAAUCAGUAAUCAAUUAUUACUAAAUCAUGGAAUUUAAGAUUCAGGGACGAAGAUUGUACUGAGAAGUAGCUGAAUAUACGUACUUUAUUCUGGUCCAACCUUGUCCAACUAAAUUAGCAAUUCUGUUUUGUUGGGGAAUAAAAAACGCUUAAUGGUUUUGAUUGUGAGCAGUAGAAAACUUUGUAUAGGAGACAAGAGACCACGGGACAGUUUGAAUAAGGAACGCAAUGUCUUUAAAGUGUUGUUUACUCAGAAACUUUGAAGCGGCAGACGACUUUGAACAGGAAAAAGUUAGAGAGACUUUGUAAUACCCCUCACAGAGUAUUUAUUAUAAAAAAAAAUUAAAUUAAAAUUAUUAAGCUAUAGUAUUUUAUAAAGAUAAUAAGUAGAUAUUAUUUUAGUAUUUUAUUUAUUUACAAUUAUGACCUUGAGUGUCUUAAUAAUUAAAAAAAUAGAAGAAUGGGUCUUUAAGUAAAAGAAGAAGUUUAAUUAAGUCAGUUUUAUUAUCACGUUUAAGUUAGUGGGAUUAAGGGUCAGUUUAUUUAUCCCAUUUAAGUUAGUGGAGUUAGGUAGUUUAUAAGUUUUAAAAGAACAGACAACAACUUACGUUAGUUCAUUCAUCAUAUUCAAACAACAGACAGUCAGAAAAGCUUAAUAUCAGGGAAGAAGAAAGACAGAGGAGAGGGAAAGAGAUUGCUGAUUAAGGUAUGUUUGGGAAUUAUAUUUUCAUAAUUUGGGUACAAAAAACCCUAAAUUAGAUAUAUUUUCUUAUUUUUUAUUUAAAUUCGGCACUUUUCUGAUGACUUUCCUGUAGCAUGAUGGGUACCAAUGGAAAGGUCUUGAAAAGAUCUUUCCCAUGGUUUUUGUAGCAUCUUGUUCGAUUUUGUGGUUUGGAAGUUACAAAUUUUUAAAGUUAAUUAAGAACCUGGUUUUCAAUAGUUUUGACAGCCCGACUUUGGGUCACCGGAACUCCAUAUUCCGGUGACGUUUUUGGCCGUUUCUUUGAGGGCUUUUGAAGUAUGAAAUUAGAUGUUUAAUUUGGCGUCAAUGUCUUGGUUAGAGGCUUCCUGUGUUAAGAGAAUUAAAGCCUCAAAGUAGGCUCAUUGAUACUGGAAACCCAGAAAUCUGGGUAUUUCUGUGAUGAAUUCUUGAAUUUUGGCUUUCGAAACUUAGGAAUCUUGUGGUCUUUUUAAUCGAAACAAAUUUUGGUCUUGUAGUAUGAUAUGCAUACUUUAAAUUGGUGUUGAUUUCAUCACUGGAUAUAAUUCAGGUUAAAAGAUAUGAGAGCUUGAAGUAAGCCAAAUGGCCAUCCAGAUUCUGAAAAUUCCAGAAAACAGAAAAUUUCUUUUUUUUAAAUUUGUUUUAAAAAAUUUGAUUUUAAUUAUUAUGUGAUAAAUUCUAUUGUAAAUUUCAUAAAUAUUGGAUAUGUGAUUUCUACUGUAUUUUUAUGUCAAGAAGUAUGUAUCUUUAUAUUUUAUAAAUUUAUUUCUUAAAUUAGUAGAUUUUAUUAAAAUAUCAAAAUUUAUGAAAUUAAUUACAAAUAUGAUUUUUUACAAGUGAAAUUAGUAUUAUUUCUCUAUCUGAAAUUUAAAGUCCUUACUGAUUUUAUGAUUUAAGUUUAAUUCUCAACCUUAUUGGAAAUUUUGUUUAAUUCAAAAAUAUAAAUAAUAAUAAUAUAUUACCUUAUUAACAAAAAAAAAAAAAAGUUCAUAAAUUGUAAUAGGAGUCGCUACACACCCUAAGUGCUUAGGAUGGUCAACGAAAAGUCGCAUUGUAGGAUCUGUUUGCAAAUUUAGUUCUGAUUUUUGUGUUUCUCGAAAUACUAGGCUACUAAGAGGAUUUUCGGAUUUGCUACUUGAAAGUAAAAUUUACGAGAUCAAGUAAGUGACUGAUAUCCCUUCGAUGUUUUCACACCUUAAAAAUUAGCUUCAAUCUGAAUUUGUACAUGAGAUAUAAUAUUUUGUCCUAUGAUUUAUUAAAAUCGAGUUAAGCAUGCAAAAUGUAUAUGUAUAUGAGUUUAUAUGUUGGAUUUAGAAUGUUGCUUAUGUAAAGCCUGAUAUCUGAUUUCGAAAUAUAUAUGACUUUAUAUAAUGUAUGCAUAUAUGAUUUCGCAAAUAUAAAUACAAAUAUUUAGUCUGAAACAAAUAUGCUUUUGUGGUGUAUGAGAUACGCUUGAGAAAUUUGAUAUACUGUUUUAUGAACUUUGGGUAAUCUAAAAAUAUAUAUUUCUGUUUUGUCUCCUAGUAUGGCUAUGCUCUGACCCUGCCAAUGGGGGUUAAAUGUUGGCCAUGUCGACAUGUAUUCUGUGAUUAGAGAUCGAUCUCCCAACCGCACUACCGGUUACAGAAUAGUAGUAUUUGUGAUAUCUGUUCAGUGCAGCCAAUGGUUGCUUCUUCUGACCCAUGCCACUGGGGUUAAUUGUGGUUCUAUUUCUGACCUAUGCCACAGGGGUUAAGUGUGGUCGUAGCAUGUUACAGGAGACCAUUAAAAGUUAAAUAUUGUGAAUAUAUUUGUUCUGUUAUUUGAAUGCGCAAAUUUUGAAGUAUGUGAUUCCAAAUAAGAUUACCCAAUAUUUUAUCUUGGCAUUUGUAAAUGAUAUUUUGCCCUGAAUGUUUUAAGCAUGCUUAAUCCGGCUGAAGGGAUGUUAGUUACUUGCUGAGUAGUUGGACUCACCCUUUCCUUCAAAUUUUUUUCAGGUUGUGAUUUGGUCAACCACGCUGGAACUUUGGGGAGUGAUGUUUAAUUUAGUAGCACUUAAAUUAUUUAGGAUUUAUUUAAAUAUUAUGAACAUCGUACUAUCUUAAUUAGUAUUCAGACUUUUAUCUUGACACAGUAGCUUUAUGGUUUUGGAGAUUUAAUUUUGAAUAUUGUCAAAUUAUGAUAUUUGGAAAUUCUGUCAAUAGAUAUAGUUUAUAAAUCACUAAAUUCUUCAGGUAUAUUAGUCUCUUUUAGUAAUGGUUUAAGAUAUAUAUUUUAGAGCCUUGCAUGUCUGUGGGAUUAUACCUUACAGGUAUGCGGCGUCUGUCAUGUCUCGGGUCUGGGGCGUGACAGACUUGGUCAACGAAUUUGUCUUGGAUGCAUUGACGUGAAGUUGGGGUUCUGCAAUGGGUGGAUCUCAUUUCCCUACACCCUAUUUGCUUUAAGGUAGCUUCAUUGACGGUGCAAAGAAGCUAGUUCCAGCGUUAAGGUCUUCUUUCUCAUCUCCUUUUUUCUACUAGCCUAGUUGAUAUUAGCAUUAAUGAGGCAAAAUAAAUAAUGGAAUGAUUUCAUCAAAUGUCCAUAUUUUCCACUUAUUGGGUACCACCACCUUUUGCUUUCAGAUUAGUUGUUGUUGUUUUUUUUGCUGUGACUCGUAAAAUUAACAUUGACAGAUCUUCUUUAUUUUUGACCUUUUCUUGAGAAAAGGACAUAAUUGUAUUAAAGGCUUCAACAAUUGCAUCAAAGAAUACACUCUCUUGAGAUAAAUUUUAAGAAACGAUAGUUAUUUCAUCAGUUUGAUAAUUGGUUCGAUCUUUAUUGAUUACUUCACUGUCAUGAACCCUCGGUUAUCCUACUUUCUAAUUCGAGAUCCCCACUUGCAAUUGGAAACUAUAGAGAAAAAACGCAUGAAACGAAUUUCUAACAAAUGAUACUUAGAAAAUAAAACCCAAUGACCCAAGAUUUGAUUUCUUUAUUAUUAUUUUUCUUCUUUCGUUUCCUUUCAGAGUUAAAAGCAAACUUACAAACAUAAAGAAUGAAUGAACUAAGUCAAAAUUAAUACGUGUUUUGAUUAAGAAAAGAAAAAUGAAACAAAGAGUGAUACACGAUGGUUCUAUUCUUCUUUAAUCUGCAUGUUGGAUUAUAGAGUCUUAUCCACUCUCAUUAUAUUUUAUUAGAAAUUUAACAAAAUGGAGUUGAACUUACUAUUUAAUAUGCAUGAUGAUUGCCUUUAAAUUUAUAGGUCAUCACUAGACCCCAUUUGCUUUUAGGUAGCUUCGUUGAUGUUGCAAAUUGCACUUUCGUUUUUACUAGUGUAAAAAGCAGAAGACUUGAAAAGGGCUUUUGCAUCCAUCUGAAAUCAGUUUCAUCAAAACAUGGUCUAAAAUAGUAGGCUGAAUUUAUUCCUUUCAUCCUUACUAUUUGCUUUUUGACAACAUAUAAUAAACAAAUGAAAGUCGGUGUGAACAUGAAGACAAACCUUGGAAGUGAUUGUCUAUUUCUUACUCUAUUUCUAUGUAAAUGCAAUUGGAAGAUGCAGGGAAAGAAUUGAAACUAGAAGUACAUGGUAUAAACAAUAAUGCAAAAUUGGCUCUGUUGAAGGAAAUUCUAUCAUUGCUAUACUUUUAAAUUAUUGAUCUUUUUAUUAUUUUUUUUCUUCCUUCUUCCCUUUGAGUUAAAAGGAAACUUAUGAAUAUAUAGAAUGAAUGAACAAAAUCAAAAUUAAUGCGCGUUUUGAUUAAAAAAAUUAAAAUAAAAGAGAGGAAAAAACAAGAAUUAAGCGAAAGAAAGAGCCCAAAUUAACAUUUUGAUAUAUAUAUAUAUAUAUAUAUAUAUAUAUAUAUAUAUAUAUACUUCUUGAUUUAACGUGACAAUUUGGGAUCAAUGCAUUAAUCUGAGACACCUUUCUAUAGAUCUAGAAGUGGAAUUAGGACAAAGAAAAUUGUAAUGGUAACAAAACUUUGAAUGAGAAAAAGGUACAGAGACUUGGUAAACUGAUUUGUGAUGAAUCCAGUGAUCGGGGUUCUGAUUUGCUUAAUUGACGGUGCAAAGAAGCUAGUUCCAGCAUUCAGUCUUCUUGCUUCCCUCAUGUUUUCUAGUAUAGCCCAGUCAAUACUGUAAAUUGCUCUUGUUGGGAAGAAUUCUGCAAUGUUUCAGUGAGUGCACGUUGUGGGGACAAUUCCAACACGGUAAAAGAUUAAAUUUCAGCCUGGUGUAGACUAUAUUAGCAUUAAUAAGACAAAGUAUACAAUGAAAUGAUUGGAUCAUAUGUCCAUAUUUUUUUCUUACGGAAAUUACCGCCUCACCUUUUUCUUUAAGAUUAGUUUAAGGUUAGUUUAAUUGAUGAAUCAGAAGAAAAGUCUUGAUAUGAAGAUUUCGACUCUUACUACAUAUUAUUCACAAAUGAUAGCACAAACCUAAUUCAUCACGCAGAGAAUCUUGUUUCAUUUUGUUACUAAAUCAAUAAUCAAUUAUUACUAAAUUAUGAAAUUUAAGAUUUAGGGAUGAAGAUUGUACUGAGAAGUUGCUGAAAUACGUACUUUAUUCUGGUCCAACCUUGUCCAACUAAAUUAGCAAUUCUGCUUUGAAGUGUUGUCUUGAAUGCAUUGAUGUGAAAUUGGGGUUCUGCAAUGGUAUAAACAUGAUGCAAAAUGGCUCUGUUGAAGGAAAUUCUAUCAUCGAUGCACUUUUGGAUUAUUAAUCUCUUUAUUUCUUUCUUUUCCCCUUUAAGUUAAAAGGAAACUUACAAAUAUAAAGAAUAAAUGAACAAAUUCAAAAUUUAUACGCGUUUUGGUAACCAAAAUCUUGAAUAUAAAUUUCAAGUUGAUUAUUAUUGUAGGGCUUAAUUCCCAUACCUUUUAAGAUAUUCUCUUUUUUGGCAUAACAUCACUUGAUCAGUUUAAUAUGAAAAGAAAUCUUCAAAUUACAUUUUUCCCUUAAAUUUCCUUCAUUAAGUCAGGAGAAAAUCAUACACUAUAUCGCAGAGAAUUUAGAGGAUGAUAUGAGAAAACUAUUUUACAGCUAAGUAACAAACAAUACAAGGCUAAACCAAUAAUGAGUGCCAUUGAGGUGCUUCUCAUUAAUUUAUUUGAAAUUGUUAAUAUUGUUUAUUUUUUAGAUAUCAUAUCAACAAGGGAGCAGAUGAAGCUUAAGUUAAAAGACAUCAAAGAAGUAAUACUUCUUAAUGAACCAAAUUUGUUAUUUCUUGGUGAUUGAGGCUGACAUAAUUGCUUUUGUUGAAAAACACAAAAAGAGAAAAGGAAAGAAUAACACAAAACAUAGAGAUUAUGCAAUUGGUACAUGUUCCAUGUCAAAAGCAUAAUGAGUAUUGCUUUUGGACCAGGUUGAAUGACAUAUUAGCUUUCCACCUGAGCACGGUAACAUUUCCCUCAAUUUGACACGUCAUCAAUUAUGAACUUCCAAGAAACCUGAGAAAACAAAAUUAUGAACUUGGAUUUGGUACCUCUUGACUAGGCAGCUUAUAAAUACUCAUCUUUGCCUUCCCACCAUUCAUAUCAUGCCAUUAAUAUUCAAUUUCUCUUGUUAAGAAACAUGUGGUGCUUACUCAAAGCCUUUCAACUCCUCCACCUUCUUUUGUUCCUCCUGACUUUUCAAGCCAAUCUUUCAUCUUCUUCUUCUUCAAUUACACAGUUGUGCUCUCCUGAAGAAGCUGCUGCAUUGAUCCAAUUCAAGACCUCUUUUUCCAUCAGUGAAUAUGCAUCUUGGAAUUGUGAUCAUUAUGCUGGCAUUAAAUCUUAUCCCAAGACAAAUUCAUGGAAGGAGGGUUCAAAUUGCUGCUCAUGGGAUGGGAUCACUUGUGAUAACGUCAACGGUCAAGUGAUUGGCCUUGACUUGAGUUGCAGUCAGCUCUAUGGCAGCAUCCCCUCCAAUAGUAGUCUCUUCCAUCUUCCACACUUGCAGAAACUCAACCUAGCCUCCAACGAUUUUAACUCUUCCAAGAUGUCAUCUAAGUUUGGUCGGUUUGCAAGUCUGGUGUAUCUUAACCUGUCUUUCGCAUCCUUUGCAGGAGAAGUCCCAUCCCAAAUCUCCCACUUGUCAAAAUUGGUUUCACUUGAUCUCUCUUGGAAUUGUUAUCAACCACUUGAUAGGCAUACUCUGGAAGGACUCGUUGAGAACCUAACAGAGGUGAGACAACUUUUUCUUGGUGAUAUCAAUAUGUCUUCUAUUAAUCCUAAUGUCUUGACGAAUCUAUCCUCAUCUCUAAGGGCCCUUAAUCUUGAGGCUUGUGAUUUGCGAGGAAAAUUCCCAAAAAACAUUUUUCACCUGCCUAACCUCAAGUCCCUCUAUUUAAGGCGCAACGAAAACCUCGCUCUCUAUUUUCCAAAGUUGAACCAGACCAGCAAUCUUCAACUUUUAGAUCUAUCAAGCAUGUUCUUCUCUACAGAAUCGAUAGAUUCAAUAGGCAAUUUACAAUCUUUGAAAUAUUUGGAUUUAUCAUGGACUUCUUUUCCUGGAGGGUGGCCUAAGACUAUCACGAAUUUAUCAUCUUUGGAGCAUUUGGAUGCAUCAGACUCAUCUUUCUCAGGAGCAUUGCCCAACUCAAUCGGGAAUCUAGUGUCCUUGGAGUAUUUAAAUCUUCAAUCAUCCAACUUGUCAGGAUCAAUUCCGAUAUCAUUGGGAAACCUCUCACAACUCAAUCAUUUAGAUUUGUCAUGGAACUAUUUUAGUGGACAAAUUCCAUCCUCACUUACAAACCUAAGACAACUCAAUCAUUUAGAUUUGUCAUGGAACUAUUUUAGUGAACAAAUUCCAUCCUCACUUACAAACCUAAGACAACUUGAAUUCUUUUCCCUUUUUUAUAACCAACUAGAGGGUUCCAUUCCUGAUGAGGUGAAUGCCUUUCCUAAUCUAAUCUCUCUAGACUUAUCUUCUAAUUUACUCAAUGGAACACUUCCCUCAUGGUUGUAUACAGUUUCCACAUUGAAGCACAUAUAUCUCAACGAUAACAAGCUCAGUGGUGAUAUCAAGGAAUUCCAGUGCAAAUCACUAGAACAGAUCCGUUUUGGGAAUAAUAAACUCAAAGGUCCUAUUCCAUCUUCAAUAUUCCAACUUGUGAAUCUUACUACAGUUGACUUUUCACAUCUAAGUGGGUUUGUACAGAUUAACAUGUUCUCAAAACUCCAAAAUCUCCAGUACCUUGAUCUUUCAUAUAGCAGUCUAUCCUUAAACUCUAAUGGUACUAGUGCUGAUUAUGUGUUUCCUAAUCUUCAGUAUUUGUACUUGUCUUCUUGCAAUGUCAAUGAAUUUCCCCAAUUUUUAAAAGGUUCAAAAAGUUUGCAACAUUUAGACCUUUCCAACAAUAAAAUUUAUGGCAAGAUUCCUAAGUGGAUGUGGGAUGUGGGGAAGGACUCUUUGACAUUCUUGAACUUAACUCACAACAAUUUGACGGAUUUUGAACAAAUUCCAUGGAAGGGAAUUGAAAUUCUUGACCUUAGCUCCAAUUUCAUUCAUGGAGAUCUUCCGAUUCCACCUUCAACAACAUCUGUCUUUCUUAUCUCAAAUAAUAAUUUGAGCGGUGAGCUCCCUUCUCUGCUAUGCAAUGCAAAUUCCUUUGAAUUUCUUGACUUGUCUCGCAACAACUUGAGUGGAAUUAUUCCACAAUGUUUUGGAAACUUAAGCCGAAGCCUUUCAGUGUUGAAUCUACAAAGGAACAACUUCUGUGGACUCAUUCCUUCGGUUUUUACAAAGGGAUGUCACUUGAAUUAUCUCAACUUAAAUGGCAAUCAAUUAGAAGGGCCUUUACCACAAGACAUCAUUAAUUGUGGAGGUUUGGAAGUGCUAAAUCUUGGUAACAACAAGAUCAAUGAUACAUUUCCUCAUUGGUUGGAAAGUCUUACACAACUACAAGUUCUUGUGCUGCAUUCGAAUCAAUUGCAUGGUUCCUUUCAAGAUCCGUGGUCCAAUCAUUCUUUCUCUAAAAUUCAAAUUUUUGAUCUGUCGAAUAAUUAUUUUACUGGUCCACUUCCCGUUAAAUAUAUAAAAAAUUUCAAGGCUAUGAUAAAUCUCUCAAAAGAUAAAAGUGCAAGGUCGUACAUGGGAGAGUAUGUUCCUUCUGCUUUGGCUAACUUCUAUAGCUAUUCUAUUGAAAUUGCAAUAAAAGGAGUAGAGAUUGAAUUGGAGAAAAUAUUCAUCGCGUUGACGAGCAUUGACCUCUCAAACAAUGAGUUUCAAGGUGAGAUUCCAAAGGUUAUUGGAGAGCUUGACUCACUCAAAGGGCUAAACCUUUCUCAUAAUAACCUUAGUGGUUGUAUCCCCACAUCAAUGGGGAAUUUGACAGCACUUGAGUCACUGGAUCUCUCUUCGAAUAAGCUUGUUGGGAAGAUUCCUACACAGUUGAAUAGUUUGGAUUUUCUUGAAGUGUUAAACCUUUCACAAAAUCAGCUCGUUGGACCUAUACCUCAGGGAAAACAAUUCGAUACCUUUGGCAGGGAUUCCUACGCUGGUAACUUGGGACUGUGUGGGUUUCUAUUAUCAAGGAGCUGUGACAACACUGAGGCACCCUUUUUUCAUGACAGCACUGAGGCACUCAUUUUUCAUGUGGAAGCAGAUUCUGAAUCUGGAUUUGUGUGGAAAGCGACAUUCAUGGGUUAUGGAAGUGGACUAGUGUUGGGAAUAUCUGCAGCAUAUAUCAUGUUCACACUUGGAAGACCCAAAUGGCUUGUGAGGAUGGUUGAAGAAGUAGGCUACAAAUUGAAGAGAUACCUCAGAGGACGAAGGAAUUUGUAAAUUAGUAAGAAGCCCUCAUCUGUCACUGGUGGAUAGAAUGGCUUGUGUUCCUUUUAUGUUCAAUAUGAUUUUCGUUUCUUGACUGUGUUUUGUUUUGUCUUGCGCCCUGACUUUUCUUCCAGGGGUUGUAUCAUGUUUUCAAGUUGUUUGUUACAGGGGAUGCCCUGUUUUUGAUCUGGUAUGUUGCUUGGCUGUUGCUUAUAGCCAUCCAAAUGCUUGUUCUCUUUUGUUUUAUUCACCAAUGAUUAUUCCUGGUUGAUAAUGAAUUCUAUUGAAGCAGACUUUGUUUUUUUUUUCUUCCUAGAAUAAAUUUUCUUUCAUACUAAUGAAAUUGUAAGACUGUUAUGGAUGCUAUAUGGAAUUUAAAGAUGAAUUUUCUAUCCCUUUUACAAAUGUUGACAUGAAAUUUUAGUUGAAUUCACCAUGCUUAAAUAACUUUUUUUUUUUUUUUUAACGUUUGAAGGCAGCACUCAGGGAGGAUAACAUUGACACUCGGCUACCUUCUCAAUCAAGUCAAGCAAGCAAAAAGAAAUCUGUGUUACUAGCUAAAGGCAUCUGGGCUGGCAAUUCGUUCAUCACAAACAAAUUUUUCUUUACUUUGCUGAAUCAAAGAUUUUGCUUGUAUAUAUAUGUAUAUAUAUAUAACUGAGCUUUACAUAUAUGUAUAUAUAUAUGUAUAUAUGUAUAUUGAAGAACUGAGCUUUGCUUUUUAAGCUUCAGGUGCUUAAACUAUCCAGUUGCCAACUUGGCUUAACCUUGAACAUGCCUUGGACCAUGUUGAGAACAACAGUAUACGUAGUUACAAAAUCUAGUUACCAUGCCUUCACACUUACAACUUUGACUGGUCAUUACCAAUGGAGCCAAAACUUUCCUAUAAUUUCAGUUGUUCAUAAUAAAAGUCUUGUUCUUUUCAAUUUCAAUUCAUAAUUCAACCUUGUGCUAGUAUUCAGUUGGACUGGAGUUGUUCUAAUGCCCAAUUCAGGUCAUAUUUUCUACCUACUUUAGUUUAAGGAGAGAACUGUAAUUCUAAAGUCUAUGGGGGCAGAUUUUGUCAUUUCUGCUCCUCUUACUUCCCACUUGCAGCAAGCAAAUCUUUCCUUCACCAACCAGACUUCUCCCAAAAACCCCCCGGCUUGGAGUAAUGAAGAGACCGAAGAGACCACCCUUCCAUGGGAAUUCUCUUCAUCCCAAUAAAACCUGAAACUCCCUUCUUUUUCUCUUUCUCCUCUUUCAUAUUUUGUUUAAGCAAGUUUCAAUCUUUUUUCUUUCCUUUUUUCUUUUGUAGAUUAUUGAAUUAUUCUUGUUGAUGAGAAUGGCGCUUGAAUCCUCAAUUCUCAGCCAACCCACUUUCUGUUCUUCAAGAAGGUCCUCGCCUUUCAUGCUUUUUAAUCGAAAUUUGAAGUACCCAUAAAAGUUUUUAUCCAAAACUAAUCACUACCCAGCUCCUAUUAUCUCCAGCUUUUCCAAUCCCGAGGUUUUCAAAGCCUUUGGAUUGCGAAAAACUGGAAUUUUUGGAAGUCAGGCACGUCUGGGAUUGUUAAGUGAAGACAAUGAAGAUGUGGGAAAUAAUCAGAAUCUGAUUUUGGUGAAAAGGGGAAUUUUGGUGGCAAUGGUUUGCAGUGUAUUGGUCUUUGGUUGUAAAAGAGUGUUUGCUGUUGAGGGAGUGGUUAAUGCUGGCUAUGGGGUGAUUGAGCAUUGCAUAUUGUUGUUGAGGAACGCUUGGCCUAAGUUAUCUAUGCUUCUUAAAGCUAAUCUUUCAUCUUCUUCUUCUUCAAUUACACAGUUGUGCUCUCCUGAAGAAGCUGCUGCAUUGAUCCAAUUCAAGAUCUCUUUUUCAAUCAGUGAAUAUUCAUAUUGGGAAUGCGGUGAAUCUUUUCCUAUGACAAAUUCAUGGAAGGAGGGUUCAGAUUGCUGCUCAUGGGAUGGGGUCACUUGUGAUAACAUCAAAGGUCAAGUUAUUGGCCUUGACUUGAGUUGCAGUCAGCUAAAUGGCAGCAUCCCUUUCAAUAACAGUCUCUUCCAUCUUCCACACCUACAGAAACCCAACCUAGCCUUCAACUACUUUAACUCUGCCAAGAUGUCAUCUAAGUUUGGUGGGUUUGCAAGUCUAAUGUAUCUCAAUCUCUCUUAUUCAAACUUUGAAGGACAAGUCCCAUCCCAAGUCUCCCACUUGUAGAAAUUGGUUUCACUUGAUCUCUCUGGGAAUUAUUAUUAACCACAUGACAGACAUACUGUGGAAGGACUUGUUCAGAACCUAACAGAGGUGAGACACCUUUUUCUUGACAGUAUCGAUAUGCCUUGAUGAAUCUACCCUCAUCUUUAAGGACUCUUAAUCUCAAGUACUGUGAUUUGCGAGGAAAAUUCCCAAAAAACAUUUUUCACCUGCCUAACCUCAAGUCCCUCUAUUUAGGAUACAACGAAAACCUUGCUCUCUAUUUAGAUCUAUCAGGAAUGUCCUUCUCAACAAAAUCGAUAGAUUCGACGAUCGGCAAUUUACAAUCUUUGAAAUAUUUGGAUUUAUCAUGGACUUCUUUUCUUGGAGGGUUGCCUGAGUCUAUCACGAAUUUAUCAUCUUUGGAGCAUUUGGAUGCAUCAGACUCAUCUUUCUCAGGAGGACUGCCCAACUCAAUCGGGAAUCUAGUGUCCUUGGAGUAUUUAAGUCUUUCAUCACCCAAUUUAUCAGGAUCAAUUUUGAUAUCAUUGGGAAACCUCUCACAACUCAAUUAUUUAGAUUUGUCAUGGAACUAUUUUAGUGGACAAAUUCCAUCUUCACUUACAAAGCUUAGGCAACUUGAAUUUUUGGACAUUUCUAAUAAUCAACUAGAAGGUUCCAUUCCUGAUGAAGUAGCUGCCUUUCCUAAUCUAAUUUCUUUAAACUUAUCUUUUAAUUUGAUCAACGGAACGAUUCCAUCAUGGUUGUUUACAGCUUCCACAUUGAAGUACAUAGCUCUCAUGCAUAAUCAACUCAAUGGUGAUGUCAAGGAAUUUCAAUACAAAUCACUAGAAGAGAUCUCUUUAGAGAAUUAACACUUGGUUACCUUCUUAAUCAAGUUAAGCAAGGAAAAAGAAGAAAUCGGUGUCACUUGCUAAAGUCAUCUGGGCUGGCAAUUCCUUCAUCACAAGCAAAUUUUGCUUUACUUUGCUGAAUCAAAGAUUUUACUAAGCUUUGCUUAGUAACUCCGUGUGCUUAAACUAUCCAGUUGCCAACUUGGCUUAACCUUGGACCAUGUUGAGAAGAACACUAACUGGCCAUUACCAAUGGAGCCAAAACUUUCCUAUAAUUUCAGUUGUUCAUAAUAAGAGACCUGUUCUUUUCAAAUUUUAUUCAUAAUUUAGCCUUCUGAUAGUAUUCGGUUGGAUCGGAGCUUUUGCAAUGCCAAAUUCAAGUCUUUUCUUUUCUCAGUUCAGGGUAGAGACGGUUACCUCUAAGAACUUUAGUCUAAGGAGAGAAUUGUAAUUCUAAAAUCUAUGGGGGCAAGUUUUGUCAUUUCUGCUUCUCUCACUUCCCACUUGCAGCGAGCAAAAUCUUUCCUUCACCAGCCAGACUUCUCCCAAAGACCCCUCUUGGAGUAAUGAAGAGACCACCCUUCCAUGGGAAUUCUCUUCAUCCCAGUAAAACCUGAAACUCCCUUCUUUUUCUCUUUCUCCUUUUUCCAUAUUUUGUUUAAACAUUUUGUAGCAGGAUUAGGAACUUAAUUUUCCGCAUUUAGAUUUUCUUUUUGCCCUCACCAUCAUGCCAAUUUUAUCUUCACCUUCCUUAUCAGAAUGAAUUGAGAUCCUCCCCAUCACAAACUUCUGUGUCCAUAAUAAAUAGUAUGAAAAUGUAGCAAAGGUAUUGCAGGCUGUGGCAUUGCAAAGCCAUUUCUUCUUCAUCUUCUUAUUCAUGGCUACCAGCAUCACCACUAAUAGCGACUAUUAAAGUUGAGUUGUGGCUGCAAGCAUCAGCCUCUGUUAGUGAAACAAAAGACAACGGUCAUGUUAUUCAUCCAUUCAUCAUCAUAAAGUUUGUACAAGGGAUAUGUUAAUACAUAUUAUCGCAAGCAUGCACAACACCACGUAAUGGCUUUUGAAGCUGAGCAAGCACGCGCUAAUUUGCUUGCUGUAGAGAUAGGUUGCCCACGUGGCAUUCAUUAGAAGACUUGGAAAGUCUUUUGCUUUUCAUCAAGAAAUGGUCUAAAUAUUAAGUACUGGACAUCCUUGCCAACCAUCAUUCCUAUAAUUGGUACACCAUAAUGAGUAUUUGCUUUUGGACCAAAUUGGUCUACCAAUUGUUAAAAUAACUUGAAAUUUGAAACCAUGGUCUACCGAGAAUCAAACUUUAGACAAUAAGAAAUAACAUGAAUAAUAAACAAAUGAAAUUAGAUGUGAACAUGAAGACAGAUCUCCGAAAGUGAUUAUUUAUUUCUUUUCUCACUCUAUUAUGAAAGGGAAUUAUCAAUUAAAAUUAAAAUUUAACUCUUAUAUUCAUACUUCAAUAAUUCACUUUCAUGCGUUAUCAAUGAAUUACAAAACUGCUAUGGAUAAAAAUUACUAUUCACAUGAUCAAACAAAUGAUUAUUACUACAAAAUCACAAAAUAAAAUAAAUAAACAUCUCAAAUUGAAUUUACCAUAAUAAAAUAUUAUAUAUAUGACAACAAAAAAAAUAUAUAUUUGACAACAAAAAGUUAAAAUUUGUAGGAAGCAUUUUUUGCCUUCCCUGUGUUAUAGACAGUUUCUUUUCCUCUUGAAGACGCGACCAACAUUAAUUUGCUCCUUGCAAUAAUCCCAACCUCCAACAUUAAAAUGAAAAAGAAAAAUGGGUGAGAAGAUAUGGCUUUGGUCAGUCGAGUCUAAUUGACAAUCUCUGUUCCAAAAUUGACAAAGAAACAUCAAUAUGAAAUUAGGACUCUUCUUUUUGUUCUUGCCUUGAAAGAAUUAAAUUCAACAUCGAGAUGGACAUUACCAAAGUAAAAGGGAGAUUCCUAAAGCUUUUCCAUAGAUUUUUGAAGAAGUAUUUUAACUAAUUCUCUCUCAAAAAAAAAAAAAAGGAAUAGAGAUGCUUUAUUAAAGAAAAUUCUAACUAAUACAAAUUAGCUUCAUGUUUGUGAUCCUAAAUCUAAUAAUGUAUAUCUUCAUAAGAUUUCAAGAAAUUAGUUCCAGCAUUCAGUCUUCUUGCUUCUCUCAUGUUUUCUAGUAUAGCCCAGUCAAUACUGUAAAUUGCCCUUGUUGGGGAGAAUUCUGCAAUGUUUCAGUGAGUGCACGUUGUGGGGGCAAUUCCAACACGGUAGAAGAUUAAAUUUCAGCCUGGUGUAGACCAUAUUAGCAUUAAUAAGACCAAGUUUAUAAUGGAAUGAUUGGAUCACACGUCCAUAUUGUCCUUUUACGGAAAUAACCACCUCACCUUUUUCUUUAAGAUUAGUUUAAUUUUUCCUUUUGACAUGUGGUCUUGGUCUCUUUGAUCAUCUCAUAUUUUCUCUAAUAGAAACUCUCUGUGAAAAGACAAAUCACUGAUCUUAAUGAGCUAGAUAAUCUAAUUAAUGAAUCAGAAGAAAAGUCUUGAUAUGAAAAUUUCGACUUUUACUGCAUAUUAUUUACAAAUGACAGCAUCAACCUCAUUCAUCACGCAGAGACUUUGUAUAGGAGACAAGACACCAUGGACAGUUUGAAUAAGGAAUGCAAUGUCUUUGAAGUGUUGUUUACUCUGAAACUUUGAAGUAGCAGACUACUUUUAACAGGAAAAAGUUAGAGGGACUUGGUAAACUAAUUUGUCUUGAAUGCAUUGACGUGAAGUUGGGGUUCUGCAGUGGUAUAAACAUGAUGCAAAAUGGCUCUGAUAAAGGAAAUUUUAUCAUCGCUGCGCUUUUGAAUUAUUGAUUUCUUUAUUUCUUUCUUUUCCCCUUUAAGUUAAAAAGAAACUUACGAACAUAAAGAAUGAAUAAAUAAAAUCAAAAUUAAUACGCGUUUUAGUUAAGAAAAAAAAAAUAAAAGAGAGAAAGACGGAAAACCUUUUCAAAAUGUUUACUUUAGAAGUAGAAGUCAUAUAGAUUUUUUCAUGCACGUAUUUCACGCGAGAAUGGUAAAGAGUGAUACGUCAUUGCUCUAUUCCUCUUUAAUCUGUAUGUUAGAUUAUGGAUUCUUAUCUUCUCUCAUUAUACUUUAUUAGAAAUUUAACAAGAUGGAAUUGAACUUAAUCUUUAUUUUAAUUUGAUAUGAAAAUUUAGAAAAAUGUUAUGAAGCAAAGGGUAAUGGCACUCUCAUAACGACAAUUGGUGUAGACCAUGACUUUUCAUCAACCCAAAUUUGGGGCCAAACUAAAUUUGAGAUACAACAUAAAUAAAUACUACAUUUAUGGUCUUUGUUUCUGUUCUUCCUCUGAAUUAACUUGAAAUUUAUCACCUCUUUUCUUAACACGGCAAGAUUAAUUUAAAGUAUGGUGUACUCCACAUUAUCAUUAAUGUAAAAAAAUAUAUAAUGGAAUGAUUGAAUCAAAUGCCUUUUUUUUUUCUUUUGGUCGGUACCACCUCCUUUUGCAUUCAAAUUAGCUUGAUUUUUUUUUUCUUUUUGACCAAGACCCAAAAAGUUAACAUCGAUAAGCCUUGUUAGUCAUCUUAUCUUCUCUCUAAUUGAAACUCUCCAAUUGUUGUUUACUUCGAACUUUGAAGCAGCAGACUACUUUUCACAGGAAAAAGUCAGAGAGACUUGGUAAACGAAUUUGUCUUGAAUGCACUGACGUGAAGUUGGUGGUUCUGCAAUGGGUGGAUCUCAUGUCCCUACGCCCUAUUUUCUUUAAGAUAGCUCAAUUGACGGUUUAAAGAAGCUAGUUCCAGCGUUAAGGUUUUCCUGCUUAUCUCAUUUUUUCUACAAGGUCAAUGCUGCAAUAUUUUAGUCUAGUGUAGUCCAUAUUAGUAUCUAAUGGAAUUAUUAAAUCAAUUGCUUAUAUUUGCCAUUUAUUGGGCACCACCUUCUUAUGCUUUCAAUUUAACUUGAUUUUUCUUUUUCGCUUGAGACCUAAAAAAUUAACAUUCACAAGCCUUCUUAGUCUUCGUGGACAUUUUUUUUUUCUUGACGAAAAGACAUAAUUGGUGGACAUCUGAUGUGAAAUUGGUGGAUCCCAUGUCCCUAACACCCUAUUUGCUUUGAGGUAGCUUCGUUAUAAAAUUCACCGGUCUUUUUGUGAAUUGACUUAAAAAUUAUUGGAUCCAUAAUUUCCUCAGUUUCCUAUGACACUAAUACUCUUUUCUUUCGUUUUAUAUUGAUUUUAGCAGUUAACAUGGCACCUUAUAUAAUGCCAACUUCAACCACAAGUUUAUAUAUGAAUACAAAAUUAUAUUUGUACAUUCUUUAUAUGUAUAUACAGAGUGAAAAAUAAAUAAAAAAUUAUAUCUCAGAAUGAAUCUGUAUAUGAACGAAACCAGUAAGUUAUAAACUGUGUAUUGUUUACCACUUGGCACCAAUGCUGCCAUUCGUUUGACAUUGGUUUGAGUGGGCAGUUUAUAAAUACUCAUCUAUGCCUUCUCACCACCACUCAUAUCAAUCAUAUCAUACCAUUAUUAUAUUCCAUUUCUCUUCUUAAGAAAUUAAGAUGUGCUGCUUACUCAUCAGAUCCUUUCAACUCCUCUACCUUCUUUUCUUCCUCUUGAAUUUUCAAGCGUAUCUUUCAUCUUGUUCUUCUUCAAUAACACCAUUAUGCUCUCCUGAAGAAGCUGCUGCAUUGAUCCAAUUCAAGACCUCUUUUUCCAUCAGUCAAGAUUCAUCUUGGAAUUCUGAUCAUUAUGCUGGCAUUAACUCUUAUCCCAAGACAAAUUCAUGGAAGGAGGGUUCAGAUUGCUGCUCAUGGGAUGGGGUCACUUGUGAUAGCAUGAAAGGUCAAGUGAUUGGCCUGGACUUGAGUUGCAGUCAGCUAUAUGGCAGAAUCCCUUCCAAUAGUAGUCUCUUCCAUCUUCCACACCUACAGAAACUCAACCUAGCCCACAACAAUUUUUACUUUUCCAAGAUGUCAUCUAAGUUUGGUGGGUUUGCAAGCCUAAUGUAUCUCAAUCUCUCUGAUUCAAACUUUGCAGGUCAAGUCCCAUCCCAAGUCUCCCACUUGUCGAAAUUGGUUUCACUUGAUCUCUCUCAGAAUUAUUAUCAACCACUUGACAGGCAUACUCUGGAAGGACUCGUUGAGAACCUAACAGAGGUGAGACAACUUUCUCUUGGUCAUAUCAAUAUGUCUUCUAUUAAUCCUAAUGCCUUGACGAAUCUAUCCUCAUCUUUAAGGGCCCUUAAUCUUGAGGGUUGUGAUUUGCGAGGAAAAUUCCCAAAAAACAUUUUUCACCUGCCUAACCUCAAGUCCCUCUAUUUAGGAUACAACAAAAACCUCGCUCUCUAUUUUCCAAAGUUGAACUGGACCAGCAAUCUUGAACUUUUAGAUCUAUCAAGCAUGUUCUUCUCUAUAGAAUCGACAGAUUCAAUAGGCAAUUUACAAUCUUUGAAAUAUUUGGAUUUAUUUGGGACUUCUUUUCCUGGAGGGUUGCCUGAGUCUAUCACGAAUUUAUCAUCUUUGGAGCAUUUGGAUGCAUCAGACUCAUCUUUCUCAAGAGGAUUGCCCAACUCAAUCGGGAAUCUAGUGUCCUUGGCGUAUUUAAAUCUUCAAUCAUCCAACUUGUCAGGAUCAAUUCCGAUAUCAUUGGGAAACCUCUCACAACUCAAUCAUUUAGAUUUGUCAUGGAACUAUUUUAGUGGACAAAUUCCAUCCUCACUUACAAACCUAAGACAACUUGAAUUCUUAUCCCUUUUUUAUAACCAACUAGAGGGUUCCAUUCCUGAUGAGGUGAAUGUCUUUCCUAAUCUAAUCUCUCUAGACUUAUGUUCUAAUUUACUCAAUGGAACACUUCCCUCAUGGUUGUAUACAGUUUCCACAUUGAAGCACAUAUAUCUCAACGAUAACAAGCUCAGUGGUGAUAUCAAGGAAUUCCAGUGCAAAUCACUAGAAGAGAUCUCUUUUGGGAAUAAUAAACUCAAAGGUCCUAUUCCAUCUUCAAUAUCCCAACUUGUGAAUCUUACUAGAGUUGACUUUUCACAUCUAAGUGGGUUUGUACAGAUUAACAUGUUCUCAAAACUCCAAAAUCUCCAAUACCUUGAUCUUUCAUAUAGCAGUCUAUCCUUAAACUCUAAUGGUACUAGUGCUGAUUAUGGAUCUCCAAAUCUUCAGUAUUUGUUCUCGUCUUCUUGCAAUGUCUAUGAAUUUCCCCAGUUUUUGAAAGGUUCAAAAAGUUUGGAACAUUUAGACCUUUCCAACAAUAAAAUUUAUGGCAAUAUUCCUAACUGGAUGUGGGAUGUGGGGAAGGACUCUUUGCAGUAUUUGAAUCUAUCUCACAACUCUUUGACAGAUUUUGAGCAAAUUCCAUGGAAGGGAAUUAAAUUUCUUGACCUUAGCUCAAAUUUCAUUCGAGGAGAUCUUUCGAUUCCACCAUCAACAACAGUGAUCUUUUAUAUCUCAAAUAAUAGUUUGAGUGGAGAGAUCCCUUCUCUGCUAUGCAAUGCAAAUUCCCUUGAAUUUCUUGGCUUGUCUCACAACAACUUGAGUGGAAUUAUUCCACAAUGUUUUGGAAACUUAAGCCAAAGCCUUUUAGUGUUGAAUCUACAAAUGAACAAAUUCCGUGGAUUCAUUCCUCCGGCUUUUACAAAGGGAUGUAAAUUGAAUUAUCUCAACUUAAAUGGUAAUCAAUUAGAAGGGCCUUUCCCACAAGCCAUCAUUAAUUGUAGAGGUUUGGAAGUGUUAGAUCUUGGUAACAACAAGAUCAAUGAUACAUUUCCUCAUUGGUUGGAAAGUCUUACACACCUACAAGUUCUUGUGCUGCAUUCGAAUCAAUUGCAUGGUUCCUUUCAGGACCCGUGGUCCAAUCAUUCUUUUUCCAAAAUUCAAAUUUUUGAUCUGUCGAAUAAUUAUUUUACUGGUCUACUUCCCGUUAAAUAUAUAAAAAAUUUCAAGGCUAUGAUAAAUCUCUCAAAAGAUAAAAGUGCAAGGUCAUACAUGGGAGUGUAUGCUCGUUCUGCUGCUGCUGACUUCUAUAGCUAUUCUAUUGAAAUUGCAAUGAAAGGAGUAGAGAUUCAAUUGGAGAAAAUAUUCAUCGCGUUGACGAGCAUUGACCUCUCAAACAAUGAGUUUCAAGGUGAGAUUCCAAAGGUUAUUGGAGAGCUUGACUCACUCAAAGGGCUAAACCUUUCUCAUAAUAACCUUAGUGGUUGUAUCCCCACAUCAAUGGGGAAUUUGACAGCACUUGAGUCACUGGAUCUCUCUUCGAAUAAGCUUGUUGGGAAGAUUCCUACACAGUUGAAUAGUUUGGGUUUUCUUGAAGUGUUAAACCUUUCACAAAAUCAGCUCGUUGGACCUAUACCUCAGGGAAAACAAUUCGAUACCUUUGGCAGGGAUUCCUACGCUGGUAACUUGGGACUGUGUGGGUUUCUAUUAUCAAGGAGCUGUGACAACACUGAGGCACCCUUUUUUCAUGACAGCACUGAGGCACCCAUUUUUCAUGUGGAAGCAGAUUCUGAAUCUGGAUUUGUGUGGAAAGCGACAUUCAUGGGUUAUGGAAGUGGACUAGUGUUGGGAAUAUCUGCAGCAUAUAUCAUGUUCACACUUGGAAGACCCAAAUGGCUUGUGAGGAUGGUUGAAGAAGUAGGCUACAAAUUGAAGAGAUACCUCAGAGGACGAAGGAAUUUGUAAAUUAGUAAGAAGCCCUCAUCUGUCACUGGUGGAUAGAAUGGCUUGUGUUCCUUUUAUGUUCAAUAUGAUUUUCGUUUCUUGACUGUGUUUUGUUUUGUCUUGCGCCCUGACUUUUCUUCCAGGGGUUGUAUCAUGUUUUCAAGUUGUUUGUUACAGGGGAUGCCUUGUUUUUGAUCUGGUAUGUUGCUUGGCUGUUGCUUAUAGCCAUCCAAAUGCUUGUUCUCUUCUGUUUUAUUCACCAAUGCUUAUUUCUAGAAUAAAUUUUCUUUCAUACUAAUGAAAUUGUAAGCCUGUUAUGGAUGCUAUAUGGAAUUUAAAGAUGAAUUUUCUAUCCCUUUUACAGAUGUUGACAUGAAAUUUUAGUUGAAUUCACC